UGGGGAAUUUUCCGCAAUGGGCGAAAGCCUGACGGAGCAAUGCCGCGUGGAGGUGGAAGGCCUACGGGUCGUCAACUUCUUUCCUCAGAGAAGAAACAAUGACAGUAUCUUAGGAAUAAGCAUCGGCUAACUCUGUGGCAG
rnacentral:rRNA from 1 species